UCAAUGGGGAAGCCAGAUUUAUUUAACAACCCUGUUACUAACUUAACAAUUGCAGUUAUUCACUUAACAACAAAGGUAAAAUGGGGCAAAACUCAUUUAACUAUCUCGCUUGCCAAUGGGAAGUUUGGGGGCAAUUGUGGUCGUAUGUCGAGGACUGGAUGUAGUCAGUUUGUGAAAACAGACUUUCAAAACCCAAGCUGAGCAUGCAAACAGCAGCUUAAAGGCAGUUAUUUAUGCAGAUUAAAUUGCCACGUAUAAACAAAGACAGCAACGGGUAUUUCCAUAAUAGGAUAAAAAUGUUUUAGUGGGGGAAGAGGCAGUUUGCUCAAAUAUACAGUUAUUGUAACAAGAUUACAUGUUCUGUGAAACUACAAUAAAAUGAUCAAAAUACAUAAAGGAUGUUGAAAGAUAUGUGUGUGGGAACGAUGUUACUCCUAAAAGACAAAACAGGUUACUUGACUAUGUUUAUUUAUAAAUAUAUCUAUAAACAUAAGGGAGGGAGGGCUUCAACACAGAAACAGGAGCACAAAAUUUCAAGAUUAAAUGCAUUUUUCCCUCUUCCCCAAAUGAGAAAAAAGAAUAGCUAGGACAAACCACCGAUUGUGGCAUAAUGCUAUUCAACACUAAUCAUAUUUAAUUAGAACAAGCUAUGCCAGGAAUAUUGUUAACAGUAGAAUGAACCAGAUAACUACAUGAAAUUUUCCUUAAUGAAAAUAAUCUCUUUUGUACUAUGCAUGCAUUUUCCAAAACUCUCUGAAACGGAGGAGUUGGCAGAAUCCAGUUUGACCAGCACGAUUCUCUCAAAGAAGGCUGUUCACAAUUCUAGAAUCCAGGCAUCAUCAGAUGCCGAGCCAACAAUGCUCCUGGCAUUCUUAGGACAUCCUAAUAACUGAGUUAUAGUUAACCAGUUUCUACUCUGUCAAACUUGGCAGAGAGAAAGGCAGCCAGUUCCUCAGAGAAGUCAAUUACUGUAGUUUUAAUACAGAAGGGCAAUGAAAUAUUAGAAAGAUGAUCUGAGAACACAAAUCGCGACUACCUGGGAACAGGUAUGGCAGAAGCUCUGGCUCCUGAGCUCCAUGCUGUUGCAGACCCUCACACAGUCCAGCUGGGAUAAGCCAUGUUUUCAGGAUAUAAAACAAUUUAUUAAAUUUUACUCAGCAAGCAUGCACUGCCUUGGAUUUUAUUUGCCAAUCAUAAAGCCUUGAAAACCUUGUCCACUAGUUAGUGGGUAGCCGGUGUAGUAGUUUAUUGCUCAGAAUCAAGGCAGUCAGGUGCUCAACCCAGCCAUCAGCUGGCACAUUCUGGACCAAUUUUGACUCUGCGAUCAAUAUCCCAUGCUAUACUUCACAGGCUGAAUUGCACUUUCAUAGAGAUUGUUCUGUGUUAAUUGAGCUACUCAGACAAAACCACUACAGCCUACUCAAUUCCUGAGAUGGCAGAAAACAUAUUUUCAGAUGGCCAUAGAGCAGGGGUCUUUAAACCUGGCCCUUUUAUGACUUGUGGACUUCAACUCAGCCAGCAUCGUAUUAAAAACCUGGGUGUGGGUUUUUGUUUUUUUCCCCCCACUCCUGCAAUUAAUAGAAUACAGAUCGGUGUGGGUGUUAAGAGAAAGAAUCAGUGUUCUUUCCUAUCCAGACCUUGUACGAAAAUAUCACUGAUAGGUGGAGGUAUGAAAGUGUAGCAAAGGAAAGAGAAGGGUCAAUGGAAAUAAGGACUCAGUUGCACACAAACAUUUUCUCAGCUGAAAGUAGCCUUACAUUCGGAACAGGGAGAGAUUUAAUUCAGCCAAUGGAAGAAGCCUUCAUUUCAGAGCCAGAACAUCUGCGGGGGGAAAAAAGCCAAUUUUCUUGCCAGUCCUUCACUCAUUUGUCUUGGCAACUGCAGGUAGUCCUUGACUUAACAGCCAUUCAUUUAGUGAUUGUUCAAACAGUACUGGGAAAAGCGACAAACCGUUUUUCACACGACCGGUGCAGCGUCCCCAUAGUCACGUGAUCAAACUUCAAUCGCUUGGCAACAGACUCAUAUUGAUGACGGUCGCCGUGUCCCGGGGUCAUAA